rnacentral:misc_RNA from 1 species
UCCGGUUUAACACCGGCAGUCUCGUUAGAGUGCCCCACUGAAUGGUGGCAACUAACGACAGAGGUUGCGCUCGUUGCGGGACUUAACCCAACAUCUCACGACACGAGCUGACGACAGCCAUGCAGCACCUGUGUUACGGCUCCCUUUCGGGCACUCCUGCAUCCCUGCAGGAUUCCGUACAUGUCAAGGGUAGGUAAGGUUUUUCGCGUUGCGUCGAAUUAAACCACAUAAUCCACCGCUUGUGCGGGUCCCCGUCAAUUCCUUUGAGUUUUAACCUUGCGGCCGUACUCCCCAGGCGGUCAACUUCACGCGUUAGCUACGGUACCAAGGAAUCGCUUCCCCAACACCCAGUUGACAUCGUUUAGGGCGUGGACUAC